UACGUAGGGGGCAAGCGUUGUCCGGAAUCAUUGGGCGUAAAGAGCGUGUAGGCGGCCCGGUAAGUCCGUUGUGAAAGUCAAGGGCUCAACCCUUGAAUGCCGGCGGAUACUGUCGGGCUAGAGUCCGGAAGAGGCGAGUGGAAUUCCUGGUGUAGCGGUGAAAUGCGCAGAUAUCAGGAGGAACACCGAUGGCGAAGGCAGCUCGCUGGGACGGAACUGACGCUGAGACGCGAAAGCGUGGGGAGCAAACAGG
rnacentral:rRNA from 1 species